rnacentral:rRNA from 1 species
AGCGAACGCUGGCGGCAGGCCUAACACAUGCAAGUCGAACGAACUCUUCGGAGUUAGUGGCGGACGGGUGAGUAACACGUGGGAACGUGCCUUUAGGUUCGGAAUAACUCAGGGAAACUUGUGCUAAUACCGAAUGUGCCCUUCGGGGGAAAGAUUUAUCGCCUUUAGAGCGGCCCGCGUCUGAUUAGCUAGUUGGUGAGGUAAAGGCUCACCAAGGCGACGAUCAGUAGCUGGUCUGAGAGGAUGAUCAGCCACAUUGGGACUGAGACACGGCCCAAACUCCUUCGGGAGGCAGCAGUGGGGAAUCUUGCGCAAUGGGCGAAAGCCUGACGCAGCCAUGCCGCGUGAAUGAUGAAGGUCUUAGGAUUGUAAAAUUCUUUCACCGGGGACGAUAAUGACGGUACCCGGAGAAGAAGCCCCGGCUAACUUCGUG